CCUACGGGGGGCAGCAGUGGGGAAUAUUGGACAAUGGGGGGAACCCUGAUCCAGCCAUGCCGCGUGUGUGAAGAGGGCCCUCGGGUUGUAAAGCACUUUCAGUGAGGAAGAACGCCUGGUGGUUAAUACCCAUCAGGAAAGACAUCACUCACAGAAGAAGCACCGGCUAACUCCGUGCCAGCAGCCGCGGUAAUACGGAGGGUGCGAGCGUUAAUCGGAAUUACUGGGCGUAAAGCGCGCGUAGGUGGCUUGAUAAGCCGGUUGUGAAAGCCCCGGGCUCAACCUGGGAACGGCAUCCGGAACUGUCAAGCUAGAGUGCAGGAGAGGAAGGUAGAGUUCCCGGUGUAGCGGUGAAAUGCGUAGAGAUCGGGAGGAAUACCAGUGGCGAAGGCGGCCUUCUGGACUGACACUGACACUGAGGUGCGAAAGCGUGGGUAGCAAACAGGAUUAGAUACCCGUGUAGUC
rnacentral:rRNA from 1 species